GACGAACGCUGGCGGCGUGCCUAAUACAUGCAAGUCGAGCGGACGAAUCGAAAGCUUGCUUUUGAUUCGUUAGCGGCGGACGGGUGAGUAACACGUGGGCAACCUGCCCUGUAGACGGGGAUAACACCGAGAAAUCGGUGCUAAUACCGGAUAACACGAAAUGUCGCAUGACGUUUCGUUGAAAGACGGCGCAAGCUGCCGCUACAGGAUGGGCCCGCGGCGCAUUAGCUAGUUGGUGAGGUAACGGCUCACCAAGGCGACGAUACGUAGCCGACCUGAGAUGGUGAUCGGCCACACUGGGACUGAGACACGGCCCAGACUCCUACGGGAGGCAGCAGUAGGGAAUCUUCCGCAAUGGACGAAAGUCUGACGGAGCAACGCCGCGUGAGCGAAGAAGGCCUUCGGGUCGUAAAGCUCUGUUGUUAGGGAAGAACAAGUAACGCAGUAACUGGCGUUACCGUGACGGUACCUAACGAGAAAGCCACGGCUAACUACGUG
rnacentral:rRNA from 1 species